CAGGGCAGGCGGGGCUACCCGCUGAAUUUAAGCAUAUCAAUAAGCGGAAGAAAAGAAACUUACAGGAUUCCCCAAGAAACGGCGAGCGAACCGG
rnacentral:rRNA from 1 species